AUGCUCCAUGGGCAGCACUGCCACAGCUCCUACUGUCCUACAGGGCCGCUCUGCUGGAGAGAGCCAUGGCAGUGGGCACCCUCUCAUCCAAGCACCGAUUUUCUCUGGUGGCAUGAGAGAGAACUGAGAGAAGCUGCACAGAGAGCACCUGGGAGCUGCUCUUCAAUCUCAGGACUGAUGGAGGGUGAACAAAGAUCCAGGAGACUGGAAAAUGACCUCUCAAGAGCUAUUCCAGCCAUGAUUACCAACCCUGUAAGAAGGGGGAAAAAAAGGGGUUUUGUGAUGAGUGAGCUCUUUUCUGCAGUACCGGGCUGUGACCUAAGAUGCCUUGGUGUCUGUUCUCAGCUCUCCAGCUGGCUCUCUGGGCAGAGGAGGAUUCUUGACCUUGCCAGGACUUAUGCUCAAGAGAAAAGAAGUCCUUGUACAUACUAUAUAUGAUGAUGAUUCCUUCAACGUGUAAAAAGAUAAGAUUAAAAAGAAUCCUGUAAAAACAAGUAACAUAGAAUUUAAUGUUUGCUUUCAGUUAGAAAGCCUCCCAGAUCUUUAAGCUGAUGGAUUGUCAUAUCUAUAAAUAGACCUACUCUCUUAACCUCUUAAUAACCAUGGGUUGUACACCAUAGGCUAUAUCUGGCACAAGUGCAAUUUACUGCAGUCAAUUUAGUUACCUCGGGGACACAUUUAUUACUGUUAUGGCAGCAACAGCCUGAAACCCAAAUGGGGAAUAGGGGCCCUAAUGCACCAGGAACUCUGGAAACUCCUAACAGAACCAGACAGCCCCUGCUCCAACCUGAAUCCAGACUCACCGGCGGCGCUCCCACGCAUGCUUUGACAGCAGCAGGGAGAGGUCCGGUCCUGUCACGCAGAAUAUGAAAAACAACAUUGCAAGGCAUGACCUGCAUGCCACACACUCGUACUGCAUUUGGGUGGGAGCAGAGGCUGGCAAGUGCGGGUGAGGUGCUGAGCUGGCAUGCGCUGGGCUUUUGGGAAAAACAAAAAGCACAAGCCAGGAGCAAGCCGCGGCAUGGCUGGGGCGAGGACAUGGUCCCAACGUUGCAUAGUGCAUGGGUAUGGCAGGCAGGGGCUCAACACCCACUUACUGCCUCAGUUUCCCCAGCCACCUGCUUGCACAGCCCCAGCUGCCCCCUCCUCUCUAUUUUUUGGAAAUAUAGAGUUAGGUGGGACACCUGUGUAGUGAAGUUUUAAAGCCUGCAUCAUUUGGCACUUUCUAACUGUGAUCAGCAGCUCAGUAAAGGGCAAAGACAACCACGGCACCAGAGAUCAGCUUUACAGAUUUUUAUUUUUUAAUCUGUACAGAACGCUGUUGCUAUUAUAAUAAGGCAUCAAACACACAAUCGAAAAGCUCACGAUGAACUGUGAUGUUUCACCCUUGCGUGGGUCAAAAAGGAGUUUUACAAGAUUAAAGCCGUUGCUUUCCCAGUCAGUAAACUUGAUAUUCAUUACAGACAGAUUUUUAAAAGAAUUACAAAGAUUAAAAAACUGUAAACAUAUCAAAACCAGCGACAACCCAGCAUAGCUUCCUAGGAGAGAGUUUCGGGUUUCCCUGCUGCGGGUCAGGCCUCGGGCUGGCAGGGCGGAGGCGAGGCCGGCUGGGCCGGAGCCAGGCUGGGUGCCUCCCCACGGACCUCUCUGGGUGGCAGAGUCCCACGGCACAGCUCUCAGCAGUUCCCAAAUGGCCCAGCCUCUGUCACAAAUUUCUGACUGAGAAAAAGAAACUGAGAAAACCGGUCCCCGGGGAGCUGUUUCAGCAGCACAGGGUACAGGGAGAAGCCCCGGCCAAGGCCUCGCGUUCCCUCGGUGGGGAGGCAGAGGCCGGGGCAGAGCCUGGCCCUAGGGGCUGGCAGCCCCCGCUGACACGUCAUGAGGUAGAAAAUGGGCAAACGUCACAUUUUGCUGUGAGGGUCAGUCAGGAAUAGACUGUUCCUCCCCCGGCACGAAUCAUGGUUUGUUUCCAGGGUGCUCCAAGGGGUACCUAACACCCACCUGGUAUGCCCCAAAAUUCACAGCCCUCCAUUGAUCCAUGCAAAAAGUUUAGCCGAGGUGAUGGAAAAAUACAACUUUCCUCACACUUGUACCCUUAAAGCAUUUACAUUUUGAGUAGGGGAAACCAAAUUGCUAGGGUGUAUGAGCAGGCAAUUAAUCUCCCUCGGCCUCAGCCUUUGGUACUGCCAUUUGUGACCGGGAUAAUGUGGACACCCAUCCACCAGGCAGCGGACUAAUACAUUCACUUCCCACAACCAACCACCAGACAACAAGCAUUUUGGUUUCUCUUGCACUGUACAUCAUUAGAACCUGAGAGUCCAGAGGUUUUACAUCACACCACCAACCCACACAGCCUUCUCGUUUGUUUGGUGAUCAGAGAAAUGUCCUGAGAGCUUUAUCUGCUGAACUCCUGCACUCUGUCCUCUAAAGGCCUGCCUUCACCUCUUUUGUAGCACACUUUAACACCAAAAUAAAGAAACUGCAUUAGUUCUGCUUUAUUAUUAU
ensembl:lncRNA